rnacentral:rRNA from 1 species
GCUCAGUAACACGUGGACAACCUACCCUUGGGUCCGGCAUAAUCCUGGGAAACUGGGAAUAAUUCCGGAUAGGUCACCGAUGCUGGAAUGCGCGGUGGCCGAAAGCUCCGGCGCCCGAGGAUGGGUCUGCGGCCUAUCAGGGUUGUAGUGGGUGUAACGUACCUACUAGCCUACGACGGGUACGGGUUGUGAGAGCAAGAGCCCGGAGAUGGAUUCUGAGACACGAAUCCAGGCCCUACGGGGUGCAGCAGGCGCGAAAACUUUACAAUGCGGGAAACCGUGAUAAGGGGAUCUCGAGUGCCAGCAUAUAAUGUUGGCUGUCCAGAUGCCUAAAAAGCAUCUGUUAGCAAGGGCCGGGCAAGACCGGUGCCAGCCGCCGCGGUAACACCGGCGGCCCGAGUGGUAACCGCUAUUAUUGGGUCUAAAGGGUCUGUAGCCGGCCAGGUAAGUCCCUUGGGAAAUCUGGCAGCUCAACUGUCAGGCUGCUAGGGGAUACUGUUUGGCUUGGGACCGGGAGAGGUGAGAGGUACCUUGGGGGUAGGGGUGAAAUCUUGUGAUCCUCGAGGGACCACCAGUGGCGAAGGCGUCUCACCAGAACGGGUCCGACGGUAAGGGACGAAAGCUAGGGGCACGAACCGGAUUAGAUACCCGGGUAGUCCUAGCCGUAAACGAUGCUCGCUAGGUGUCAGUCACGGUGCGACCGUGAUUGGUGCCGUAGGGAAGCCGUGAAGCGAGCCACCUGGGAAGUAUGGCCGCAAGGCUGAAACUUAAAGGAAUUGGCGGGGGAGCAC